GCACCAGAAGUAGCUAGCCUAACUGCAAAGAGGGCGGUUACCACGGUGUGGCCGAUGACUGGGGUGAAGUCGUAACAAGGUAGCCGUAGGGGAACCUGCGGCUGGAUCACCUCCUUAACGAA
rnacentral:rRNA from 1 species